rnacentral:misc_RNA from 1 species
GAAAUGCGAUAAGUAAUGUGAAUUGCAGAAUUCAGUGAAUCAUCGAAUCUUUGAACGCACAUUGCGCCCGCCAGUAUUCUGGUGGGCAUGCCUGUUCGAGCGUCAUUUCAACCAUCAAGCCCCCGGCUUGUGUUGGGGACCUGCGGCUGCCCGCAGGCCCUGAAAAACAGUGGCGGGCUCGCUGUCACACCGAGCGUAGUAGCAUACAUUCUCGCUCAGGGCGUGCUGCGGGUUCCGGCCGUUAAACGACCUUCAUAACCCAAGGUUGACCUCGGAUCAGGUAGGAAGACCCGCUGAACUUAAGC